AAAAAAAGGACACAAACGGGGUGUCAAUGGUAAAACCCAAAGAGCAUGACAAGGAAGAUGAUAUGGGGUUCAACGGUGCGUCAGUCGAGGAUGAUGAUAAUUCAGAAUCAGACGAGGGUACGACCGAGACAUCUUCAGAGGAUGAAAAGAGGCGGCCUCUAAGCAGAACAGCCGUAAUAUGUACCUGUUGUUUUUGUGUGAAGCAAGAUGUUAAAAAAAAGUCUGUAAAAAGUGAAGAGAGUGACCAGAAAAGCGGUGAAGAAAAAGAGGAUGCAGUUAUGGUUGAUAUUGUUAGAGCUGUUGUAGUAAAAGCCUUUUACCACUGUUUGAAAAAACAACUUUUGGAAAACUGUGCAGCCUGCGCUGUAAAUAAGUCCAACCCUUUUAGUCACCCUUGUAUCUUUUGGGAUCGCUCAGAAGUAUUUUACCAGCUUAGACGUAUUUCUUCUAAACUGAACGCGGCCCAGCUGGUAAAUGUAAUUAUAGCUGAAGGCUACAAACUGAAAAAGCUUAACAUAACCACUGAAACUAUAACCAAAGUUGUUAAAAUGAUUAGGGAGGUUGGAAAAUCAUCUGACCCGGUGGCCUUGCUGGUAGACCUGUCAAAAGAGGUGGCCCCCUAUAUUGGCCGAGCGGUGUGUAGCAGGGUUCGCCAAAUGGAUUAUAAAACUUUUUACAUGCAAGGUUGUGACCCUAGAGGCUUAAAAAAUAUAUAUUAAUUAAAAUGCAUUGUUAAAAAAACUGUAUCACAGUUUUUAUAUUAUUUUUCUUAACCGUUAAAAAUGUAUGUAAUUGUAUCGUAUAUUACUUUACUGCCGCUUUAAAAGUCAAAUGUGUAUAAACGUUGUUGUGUUAAAUAAAAACAAAAGCAGAAACAAA